GGGAGACAAUCAGUAAAUAUGUACGAUUUAUUCACCUUUGGACAGUUUCUAAAUAAUCCUUGAAAAUCUGUUGUUAGAGAUUGAAAAAAGUACAUUAAACGUACAAGUAUCGUAUUUUCAGACACAUUGGAAACUUUUAAGGCAAAUAUCACCUUGAUCUACAUAAUAAUACUCGUUUACAUUGUGUAAGGAAUGUCUGAUCUAGGCAAACAUACACAAACGGAUUUAUAAUGUUGUUGAGUAGAAAACAUCUGGAUAAAAUUGGAAUAAUUCCUUUGAUGACACUAUCUGACUUGUACUGACCGGUAGAAAGGGCGGAGACCAAUUUCACUGUUAUAUAAGGUAAAUAACUUAAAAUGAAGGCAAUACUUAUAACAAAUGCAGUUUUUGUCACUUUUCUUGAUUCCCGAUUUCUUUGCGAAGUGUUCCUUUGUCUUUGGAGAGAUUUCUUACCGGAGCCGGAAGAAUUACCUUUUAUUUUUUGACUAACAGUUUUGUUUGAAAAGCUACUUUCAUCUUCUAAUUCAACUAUUUGAACACCACUUGAUUCAUUAGAGAUGUCUAUCUGCAGAUGUGAAGACUUUGUUGACUUGAAAUUUCC
rnacentral:lncRNA from 1 species